GCUGGAGCACAGUGGCAUGAUCUCGGCUAACUGCAACCUCUGCCUGCCUCCCAGGUUCAAGCAAUUCUCCUGCCUCAGCCUCCCAAGUAGCUGGGAUUACAGCAAACAAUGGACUAUUGACUAAGCUUUCAGAGCUGUGGGUGUUCUCAGAGGGAGGCCAGCCAGAACACCAGCAUCUCCGGCUUUUCUUCCAACUCCCAAGUUGGAGCUCCAUCUAUCAGAAAUAUGAAACCCUGGAAUCUUCCUCCUCCUCACUUCUCUGCCUUAAGGCGUGGUGGCCACGCCUGUCAUCCUAGCACUUUGGGAGGCCGAAGCUGGCCAAUCGUUUGAGCUCAGGAGUUCGAGACCAGCCUGGGAAACAUAGUGAGACCUCGUCUCUAAAUAAAAAAAGAAAAAAGAAAAAGCUCCAGGGUCCUUUUCUUCCCUUGAUGUUGGUUAGCUAAGAAACUACCCCCCAAAGUUCUCAUGCCCCUGUGUCUACUUAGCAAAGACACGGACCUCGCCACAGGGCUCUGCCUGCCACAAUUCAUGAGCUGGCCAGAGGUCUUUGGAUUCCUCCCAGUCAUUGCUGAGAUGAGUGAGGAUUGUUUCAGAAAAUCAGGCCUCCUCCUGGGGAAUGUGCCUCAGCUUCUGCCUGGCAAACUGGGCUGUGAAGAUUUUGCUCCGAUUGACUUCUUUUGCUGUACAGCUGAUGGAUUCAGUUUAUGUUAUGUUAUUUUAUUUUAGUGAGAGCUCUUAACAUGAAAUCUACCCUCUUAAAAAUUUUAAGUGUACAAUACAUUAUUAACCACAGGUACAGUGUUGUACAGGGAUCUCUAGAGCUUCCAAGUCCUGCUUAGCUGGAACGUUUUGCCCAUUGAUCAGCAGCUGGCCAUUUCCAGUUUACUUUUUCAGUUUAAAUUCCUGUUUCCCUGUGGCCACCACCUACGAGACCCUGUAUUCAAAGAGGCUAAAGGAAUUUUUUUAUAAUCGUGACAAUUGUAUAAUAAGGAAGAAAAGAACAAGGACUCAAUAUCUCAGCUUUUUGUCUCUAAACCCUGUGAUCAUCCUCCCGCUCCACCCAGCCGUAUCCACGGAGACUUAGGAGGGCUAGAAUACACAGACAUAUAUGAAUACAUAUAAUAUGAAUACUAAAUCUGGCCAUUAGAACUGGUGUCUUUAUUUGCUCCUUACUUAUUUGUCUGUUGAUAAUGAUAGGGACACCCAUAACACUUUACUGUUAAUUAAAAUUUUCAUCGUUGAUCUAAGAAAUAGUAUUUGGAAUGUUAAUCUCCAACCUAACAAAAAGAAUGCAAAAUUAGAAACUGCAGCUCAAUUUCACUUAUAAUAGGAUAUUAAAAAUCUAUGCUAAAUAAUAACUCUAGUGUAACAAUGCAGCAAAAUAAUAAAUGACCAAAUAUGCCUUAUUUGUGAAUGUACAGAUAAUUAAAUAUUAAUAAAUCAAUUUAUAUAACACAUCACCUCAAGGGCAUAGGAAAAAAAUGAUAAGUAUUUCAAUAUAAAACAUUUAAGAACCAUUCCUAAAUUUAAUAAAAAAGCAAGUAUUUAGCAAACUACAUAACAACAUUAUUCCACCAAAAAAUGGAUUUUCAAGAAAAAUAAGAAUUGGAAACUAAUCCUAUGAACUUCAUUGAAAGACAGUUCUUUUAUAUUUAAAUAAUGGUGGAGACAGCAACAUUACAGUUUCCCCUUUCUUUUUAUUGAUUAGUUUUAGCAUUAUUAAAUAGCAACUAAUUAAACUGAAUAAUUAAGAAAUCAGACGUGAGAUAAGAACUCAAAUGUUAUUCAUAUUUUAAAAAACUGAACAUCUUUGUUGAACAAGUCUGGUAUUUCUGACAAAAUGGGAUUUUAUAUCCUUUGAGAGACUUAAGCUUAUAAAAGUUCUUAAAUAUCUUAGUUGUCUCAUAACACAGUUUCUCAGGCAUGUGAAAACUGGAUCUGAAAUGUACAGUUGGAAGCCCAGAAUAACAUAGGCUGAUGGGGCAAUCAUAGGCAAGUUCCAAAUUAAACAGGCUGAUCAGUUUCACAGAACACACACCUGAACGACUCCAGUGAAUACAGGGUUGGAGGCACCUCAGCUGUGAGGUAGGCUGUGUCAUGACUGAAAGCUUGUGUGACAUAGGAGUGUGUCUUGCCUUCCAAAUGUGGGCUUCACUGCAGCACCUCUGGGGGAGGACAUUGUCAUGGCUCUAGGAGCUUAUGGAAGGGCAACAGCACUGCCGUCCUCAGGCUGAAUCACCCAUGGCAUUAGCUUUGUAGCAUGCCUGAGAAGGACCUGGAAGUUAUUUCUCAAGCAACUGAAACACACAAACACACAUGCUUUUAAAAUGCCCAUUUUCUUGGAGCUGCCUCUUGUGCCACUUCUUAUGGGACUGGAGGAAAUGGCUUUGUCUCUACUACUCAGGGUCAUGGUAUAAAGAAGCUCAUUUUCUUUGCCAGCGCUAAGCCUGGCUGAAGAGGCGAAGACCCUUCUCUCCAGCCUGUGCUCAGGAACAGACGGUAGCCUCCGUUACGCAAAGACGGAACUUCAGCAGAUUUGUUAUGGAACCCAGCACCAGGCUAGAACUUCUGCUGGUCAGUCUUCAGUGCAGGGGUCAUACCACAGGGAACAGCACUCAACUUCCUCCUUCAAACUGUGUCCUGAACGACAGGACCUUCAAGCCUCAGGAUAUACAUGGGAGGAAAUAAAACUUCUUGAUUCCUCCUGUGGCUGGGGGAACCAUAGAGAGAUCAGUCCCUUGCAACUGUCCCUGGGGACACUUACUGAGCUCCUGGACUGCCAAGUGCUGCUGGCUCCCCAUCUGAAUACUGGAACCAAAUUCAAGCUGGUUUGUCUUUUACUGAGAAGCCUUUGAAUUCUUUGAAUAUGUUCUGACUGGUGUCUAGCCAGUGGGAGAUGUGAUUACAGAAAUUGAUGGGCCUGUGGCACAGACUGCUUUCUGAAAACACAGGGUUGUGUAUUUUGAAAGUGAUUCCAUAAAUGCUUAUUUCACCUGACUCCAGUUUUCUGUAUGUGAAAGCAGUGGCUAAUGUGUCAAAUGAGGACAACCAAGCCAUCAAGGUCUUUCCUCUGGAAGGUCACAGAAGAAGUCAUUCAAGAAUGAGGUUGGAAGAGAUCAUUCUCCUGUUUGCAAAUGAGAAACAAGUAUAGGUGUGAAGAGACCUGUCCACAGCCAUUCAACAAAUGAAAAGUCCAAUCGAAGAUGGGACCUGAUUUCUUACACCCCAGGUAUCUGCUCAUCAUCUUGGGUAAGACCACAGGGACCACCAAGACACCCAGAAGAGACACUUGAUUGUUUCCUGGAUGUUCCAGUUUUGGGGCCCAUAGAUAUAUGCCAUUUACUUUACAUGCUUUCUAAGAC
rnacentral:lncRNA from 1 species